UAUUCCAUUCAGACCUCUCAUGAAGUCAUAAAGCCUACUAUAGGCACAUGACUGGCUUUCCAGAUGUCCGCAGUUAUAGUGUAAUCAUUGCAAAUGACAUGUACGAUGACUAAUGCUACACUGAAAGACUCUAUGGAAACCUCUUUGUGUAACAGGGCAAACCAGGACAGAAGAAGCGUCUAAGAUUAUCCACAUCCUGGAUUUCAAGAUCUAGAAAAAACCUGGCAACCCUAGCAAUGUUGUUGCAGAGACCAAGUAUCUGGAGACGUCCUUCCACUUUCACUCUGUAUUCUUCCUCUGCUCCUGCAAUCUGUCAGCUCAGCUAUUUUUGGACACUGGCUCAGCAUUCUUUCAAAAGGGAAUGAAUGCAGUGCUGGCAGUGAGUGGCCAUGACUGGCAACACAAAGUAGCUUGUGGUGUAGACAAAAUGAUGUUCUCUUCCCAUUCCCAGUAAUAGAAACAGUAUGAGGUACAUCUACACAAAAAUCAUUGUCAGCAGAAGCAAUAGGAAACAUAUAAUGCACUCACUGUCAACAAAACCAAUAAAACUUAACCAAUAUA